AAAUCAAGGCAAACAGGGUUAAGUGACUGGCCAGUAAGUGUCUGGAGCUGGAUUUGAAGGCAGGAAGAAGAGAUUUUCUGACUUUGGGUCCAACAUUCUAUCCACUGUGCCAAUGAGCUGCUACCAGAGUGCUCAUAGGUUAUGGAGGGCUCAUUCUGGCAUUAGAGAGCUUGAGUCUGAAUCCCAUGUUUUGCCACUCACCAUCUGUGUUACCUUGGGGGAAAGUCAAACAUCAUUCUGCAUCCAACCCAGUGGAGUAUGCAGGAAAACCACAUUCCUGUCUCUAGACCCAUCAGUGUUCAACAGGCCAUACUUUUCCUCCUGAAUCCUUAUUGUCCACUGAGAUUCUUGCUUUGGAACCUGUGCCUGCAAGAUUGGAGGCUCUCGGUCUAUCUACACAGGGAAGCUAGCUGAACUGAAUUGAUUCAAAAUAAAAAUGAUUGCAUUCAAUAAAAUUUGGCCAAUUGUUUUUCAACAUAAUGUGAAAGAACUGAUCUGACUGAGACUCUUUUGGAAGAAGAAAAUCACCCAAUUCUGCAGAUUAGAGAAAGAGACGUUGGUUCUAACGGGGAAGGGUAUCUGGUCAUUUGGAAUCUUAUCCUCAUAACCUCAAAAUUUGUUGGCUGCAAGGAGAAACUAUUAUUCUCUGCCUCAUGGAAGAGGGCACAUCUAGGGGCAAUGAUGAUGGUGAAAGACAUGAGCCAAGUGAAAUUGCUGCUGAGUAAUUUUUCUCAUAUAUUGGAAAGAGAGAGCAAUGGAACAGGGGAUCCUAAGUUAGUCCUGCAGAGAAGUCUCCUCCUAUCACUUCCGAGCCUCAUUCCGGGCAAAUGCUACCAAAAGCAGCCUUAGGAGGUUUCUUCCUCUAUCACCUUUUCUUUUUUUCACAGGGACACAGAUGUGUCUAAUGAAAGACCUCGCUUCAUUGCCCAUUACUGACAAGCCUGUGAGCUUGUCAUGAACCAGAGUGACAGCUGAUUGGUCUCCUCCAUUCAACCCUGCUAUGAACAGCCAGAUUAAAUUUAUAUACUCCCUCGCCCCACAGAAGAGUGGCCCGGCAUCCAGGGAAAAUUGAGGGUAAAGAGGUCAUUGCAGCUUUAUUUGGGGCUCAAAGCCUUUUUUCAAUGAUGUUUAACAUCAUCCCAGAUACAUUUUAAAAUCUGGAACAGAAAUGAAGAGUUGUAAAUUGGUUUAAGGUGCCCAGAGACUUCUGGGCAGACAGCAUCUGAGUCAUUGCCCCUUCAAAAUACCCACAGCUAUACAGCAAGAAGUGCAGGGCCCAGAAGCUCUCUAUUACAUAUGUUCUGGCUGGCAAAGCUACCAUUGCUACUGUGGCUUGAAGAAAUCUUUGUUCUUUGCUGAAGUGCCAGAGAAACCCAAAGCAAGGGGAUCUUUGGAUUUGCCACUGAUCUAAUCCACUCUUUCCCCUCUUCCCCCAACCUAGAGGUUAUAGCUUACUUUGCCUUGGGAAUACAGUCUUCUUUCUUUUAGCACCCCUCUGGUAUCUUGGGAAAUUUGCAAAACCAUACUGGCAGCCAACUUUUUAGGGCACACACACACAAAAGACUAUUCUAUUUCCCUAGGAUUCCCUCCUUAUUACUUACUAUCUAAUUCCCUUGAGGAAAACAUCUUCCUCCUACAUUUCUUUAUCUUUCACAGUGCCUCCAUUUGGAGUCCCUUGAGAGCAGACUGUCUCAAAAAAACAAACAAACUUGUAUGCCCAGAACUUAGUAAAAGUUGGACACACAGAAGAUAUUUAAUGAAUAUUUGUCUAGCCGAGUUUUCUUCUAUCAGAAUGUAAGCUCUUUGAAGGCAUGGGUUGCCUUAUAUACUCAUAUUUAUAUCUUUUGAACACAACACAGGCUUGGGCACAUUUCAUUUCAUUUGGGUUUUUUUGACCUUGGAUUAGUCACUUUUAUUUUGGGGGGCAACAUUUCCUCAUAUACAAAAUGAAAUGGUUGGACGAUCUCCAAGGUCCCCACUAGCUCUCAAUCUUUGCUUCAAAGAGGAGAAAAAGGGAGUCUCAGAGAAGAAAAGUGAUGUGCCACAAUCAUACAAAUACUCAUUAGAGUUAGUCUUUGAUUAUAGGUCUUGUGACUCCAAGACUAAUGCUCUUUUCAUUAUAAGAUUUCUUUGUUGUUGUUCAGUUGUGUCUAAUUCUUCAUGAUCCCAUUUUGGAAUGAUUUGCUGUUUUCUUCAUCAGCUCAUUUUAUAGAUUAAAGAAACCGAGACAAACAGGGUUAAGUGAUUUUCCCAGUCACACAAAUACUAAGUGUCUGGGGCUGGAUUUGAACUCAGGAAGAUGAGUCUUCCUGACUCCAGGCCCAGUACUCUAUCCACUCACUGUACCACCUAGCUGCUCUACCAUUUCUUUGGGCUAGUUAUAUUUGAAAGCCUUUUUGCAAGCCCACUAUUUUGCUAGGAGAUACAGUUGGAAAUUCUCAAGGACAUCCUGGCUAAGGACAACGCUGAUGAAGACAAUCAAGGAAAAGUCCCUUGUGGGAGUCAGUGCUUUUUAGCUGAUAGCCUUAUAGUCAUAUUUCCAUUUAAUUUAGAAUUUCCGUAAAGAUGCCCAUUAGAGAUUUGGACUCACUGUCAAGAGAACAGACACGUACAAUCUCGAACCCCAGAGGAUAUGAGUCCUGUGAUCAAUAAAACACAUUAAAUGAAUUGCUUCAGCCUUUUUUUUUCCUUCCCUCAUGAGAAAGUCUUCAUUCCUUUGCUUUGUACAGCACAGAGACCCAGCUAUGGGUCUUAGGGGAGGGCGGUGCUUAUGUGAUGCAGAGACUGGGAAAGGAAGGAAGAAAGGGGAUUAGUUACUAAA